CUAAAAUAAUAAAAAUAAAAGAAUUUAAAUCAAAUAAAUAGAAAAAGACCAAAAACCCUUACUCUAAUCUAAUAAUUACGUAUCCCUGCCAACCCAACUUAUUCUCUUCUUCUGCUUUCACGCCUCUUCUUUCACGCUUCUUCUUCUUCUUCUUCUUCUUCUUCUUCUUUCAUUUUUUUCUGGAUUUUUUUGGAUCUUUCACUUUAGAUCUCCUCUCCUCCAUCAUCAUCAUCAUCAUCAUCAUUAAUGAAACUUUAGAUCUAUCUUCUCCAUAGAUCUCUCUUUGCGUUUCUUCAUGGAUUGAAUAAUUCUUUAUGUUUCUUCUCCAUGGAUUUCUUAGAUUCACUAAUCACGGAUCUCUCUUCAUGUUUCUUCUCCAUGGAUAUCUCCUCGUGCUUUCGUCCUUUGAAGUGCGCAAUCGUUUGGUGAGAAAAAACGGUUCACAAACUUCGACGAGGAAGGUUGAGGGCAGAUAAUCGGCGACGACGACGAAGAAGAAAGCAAGAAGAGACGAAUUAGUAAGUGUGAUGGCGCUAGGGUUUAGAAUUACAAUUGCUUCGCUUCAGUUGUACCUACUUAUUUGUACCAGUUGUACCUAACUAUUUGUACCAUUGUACCUAAUUAUUUGUACCAGUUGUACUUAUUUAUAUGUUAGUUAUACCAAUUGUAUCAAUUGUACUAUUAUCUUUUAGUAAUACCUUUUGUACCAGUUGUUCAAUUAUCUCUCAGUUAUACUAUUUGUAUCAGUUGUCAUAUUAUCCCUUAAUUGUACCAGUUGUACUAUUAUCUCUUAGUUGUACCAAUCGUCUCUUCUUUCAUUAAGGGUGAUUUCGGAAUAUCACAUUUACAGUGGCACUCAGAUCACAAAAUGGCAUGCCGGAUUCAUUUUCUCCAAUUAGUGACAAACUAGCCUCGGACUCCAAAUCAACGUGGACCAUCUUGUAAUCUUACCAUAUGGUUUUUAACCGGUUUGUUUAAUUAUAUUGUUUUUGAUUUUUGUAAAACAUUUGAGAUAUCCCAAUAACGUUGGCAAUCAUAAUCGCCUAAAACAUAUGGGUUCUAUACGUUUGAAUAAAGAUGGUGAAAGGCUUUUUAUCGGUUGAGAAGAAAAUGGUUAGAGAGAUGUCUUUAAUUCUGGUAUGCCAUUGGGAUGCACUUAUGGUUCAAACAAGCGUCUCCAACUCUACAUGAAAGGGUGAAAUUCUUUCGCGAUGAGUCUUUGGGUCUAUAAAAACAAAAAGUUAGCUAGAGAGACAUACCCAUUCAAGAGGUUUAAGAGUUUUCCUUCUAUUUAAGAUGUUUCACUUCAAACCACACCCUUCGAAAAUAUGCUCCAUAGUAUCUAGAGAGUAGAGGGUUUUGCAACAAAGCUCUAGACUCCAACAAAAUUGACUAAUUGAAUGACAACAAUUGUUGCCUUAGUUUUUGGUUUUAAAACUCAAAAGUGCAAUGUCUCAUCCCGCAAUAUUAAGAGUUUAUUAAAUUCUUGUUUUCUUAAAAUCUAGGAAAAGUGGAAAACUAGUCUUUCUCUUUAAUUUCUUUUUGUUUAGUACAAAAUCUCUUCAAAUCUUUUCAUUGAACAAAUUAAUUUAUGUUUUUUAAAAACUAAAAAUCCUAAAAUUGAAACCAAAAUCUCUACCUCAAAAAAAUCUGAAUAUAUUUAAAGCAAUAUUAAUAUAUUUGAUUUAAAACUCUCUAGAUCAUUAUACCUUUUAAAGACUUUUUCUAAAAAAUUGUUAAUAAAAAUUAUAUAACAAAUGAAGAAGAAGGAAUAGCGUAGCCCAAACGCUAUCUUUCAAAAAGGAUUUAUUCCAAAAUCCUUCAAACUAUAUCCCAAUUUUUAUUUUAUAUAUUUUCUUAUUCGUAAAUAUAUAUAUAUAUAUAUAUAUAUAUAUAUAUAUAUAUAUAUAUAUAUUCAUAAACGCUAAAUCAGAGACGAAAAAGAUCAGCGAAGAAAAAAAAAAAAAUGCAGAUCUUCGUCAAAACCCUCACCGGAAAAACCAUAACCCUAGAGGUCGAAAGCAGCGACACCAUCGACAAUGUCAAAGCCAAAAUUCAGGUUUCUCUUUCUCCUUCUCCGACUUCGAAUUCCACCUGCUCGUACUUUUUAGGGUUUUGGAAUGUGAAUUUUUCAAUUCCUUUUCUUAAUUGUUGGAGAAUAAUUCAUUGAUUGGAGUCACUGAUUGUUUGGUUUGAUGGUUUUAGGUUUUCUUUCUCUGAUUACGUAAAACGAUCUCAGAUUCUCGAGCGAUCGAUAGGUUUUUGUAUAAGUGACUAAAGAUGAUCGAUUUGAUCAGAUUCACGAAUCAUGUUGUUGAUGUUGCAAUCUCUAAGUAUUGUUUUGAUUUGGUCUUGUUCUAAUUGGUUGGGAUUUUGUUGAAAACAGGACAAAGAGGGAAUACCACCUGAUCAACAGAGGUUGAUAUUUGCUGGUAAGCAACUUGAAGAUGGUCGAACAUUAGCGGAUUACAACAUCCAGAAAGAGUCGACUCUUCACUUGGUCUUGAGGCUUAGGGGCGGGACUAUGAUUAAGGUCAAGACUCUCACAGGGAAGGAAAUUGAGAUUGAUAUUGAACCAACCGAUACUAUUGAUCGGAUCAAGGAACGUGUUGAGGAGAAAGAAGGUAUCCCUCCUGUUCAACAAAGGUACAUAACUUAUCUUUCCACUUACUUCAAAAGAAUUGAGUUUUAAUUUGGGUUUAGGGAAGCCUCUUGAACAGUAUUAACUCUUUUCUGAGACUUAUGCUCACCACUUAUUGUAGCUCCUAUAUUGUUCUGUCAUCUUUGUCGGCUCAUUUGGAGUUGUUCGCGGUUCAAUAUUGAUUCUAUAAGACUUUAUUUGCGGUUUAUUGCAAUAGGUGAUUUGAUUUUCAUGUUUUAGCGAGAUAAAGAAAACUAUCUAAUGCCCUUGUGAAAAUUGCAACUCCUCUAUGUGUUUCCUUAUGAUUUUUGGCAUCAGUCGAUUAUUCUCUGCGUGCAAGCUGAUAAUCUAGACUGUUACAUAUAACACACUGAUUUGCAUGAGUGUUUGUUGGAUGCUUAUAAUCUCAAGGAUGUUUGCAGGCUCAUCUACGCCGGAAAACAGCUAGCUGAUGACAAAACGGCAAAAGACUACGCCAUAGAGGGAGGCUCUGUUCUUCAUCUGGUUCUUGCUCUUAGGGGUGGUUUUGGUCUUCUCUGAGAAGUAACUCUUAAAUAUAUAUCUUUUCCUGUUUUCCUUUGUAUGGCUUGUUGGAGUUGGUGGGGAAAAAGUGAAUGCAAUUUGGAUAUGAUGCUUUGAAUAUUAUGCUGUUUCAGUGGGUUUGGAUUAACUUACCAAUAAUCUGUUAAAUAUCGAAUCAUACUUAUAUUUAUUUGGAUUUUAGUUAUUUAUAAUGAAUAUAUUUCAUUUGAAGAAAGGUGCUCGUAGCCGUAGAUAAACAACUAGACAUGUGAAACUAGGAAAAAAAAGCUAUGGGUUGAUCGGACCAGGCGGAUUGAGAUUGCUGGUUGCAUGAGUUAAAAGAACGGGUUCCUCAAGGACAGUGAAAUAUUGUUAGAAGAGUUAACCAUUUUGUAUGAGCAGAACUUUAUCAAAAUAUGUUUGAUUAAACAAGUCAGAUGAUUAGUUUAUGGUACCAUAAGUAACAUCAGUGACAAGUUAUUUUUACUUUAAUUUUCUAAGUAACAUUCCGUUUUUGUUAGUUGAUUUGUAUUUUCUCUUUUAUAAAUUGGGAUCAUUCCUUUUUACAUACAAGAUUCCCUUCUUCAUAUUUCAUCUUAUAUGUCAUGAGUUUGAGUCUCCAAUACUUCCAUAGCACGACAAGCACACCAGUGACCAUCCAUCCCCCAUACGUAGCAAUUGCUUUCUUUAUGAUUCAUUGCAUGUUUUCAUUAUUAUUUGCAUAACUUGCUCUAUUAUUUGCUAUAUUUUUUUUUUUUUGACAGCCUGCUAUAUAUUGUUAUUAUAAUUAUCAGGUUAACAAAUCUUCAUCUUCCAUGAGCACGCGUCCAUGACCGUGUUCACAAUUAUCUUAGAAAGAUAUGAUCACAUUCAUUUAAGAGAAUGGAAUCGGGCUUGUUGGACGUGAUUCAUGUUUUUUCAUUGAGAGAUUGUUAUUUUCUCCACAACAAAGAUACACAAGGUAGCUCUCAACUUUUCAAAAACCCUUGAUAAAUACAUGAUUGUUUAACUUGCUUACAAAAUUUUCAAAAUAUUAGAAGUUAAUUUUGUAUCUCUUUGUUGCGGAUGAAAAUUACAGUAUGUUAAAUGAAAAAUUGUGAAUCACUUCCAACAUUUACGACUCCAUCUGUUGAAGUGAAUGUGAUGUCUUCGGAAUUAGUUGUGGACAUGGACGCAUAACGCAUAUUCAUGGACGCAGUUGCAUAUGCCAAUAAAGACUAAAGUUGGUAACUCAAGAGGAUUUUUCAGGUAGAUACAUAUUUUUCUCUUAUCAUGGUUUUGUCUUACUGUAAUAUUUUGAAUAUCCUAAUUUCGUUCAUUUGUCGUAAUUGCCUAUGAGUCUUUUUUUUAAUAUAUUUCUCCUAUAAAUUCGAAUAAAUUUUUUCUUGUAAAGACACAUCAACAAAACAAUAUAAAAUAAAAUAUUAACUUUCUCACAUCUCAUUUUAUACAAAGGAUCCUAAAUUGAUUAUUAUCUAAUAAUUUCAUAACAUAAAACAUAUAUUUACUUGGGAAGUGUUUUUUUUUUUUUUGGGGAGUAUUUUUAAUAAAUUUCCAUCCAAUUCCAAGCUACUCAUGAGAAGAUUUUUUUUUUCUUUUUUAAACUAAAAAUUUAAUAGUAUUUUAAAAGAGAGAAAAAAAAACAAUAUGAAAGAGUAUGAAAGGGCCCACCCAAAAUAAAAAGGUGACCGUUGAGAUUUAAACGUUAAGCUUUAAAAGCUUUACAAGACAUAAACGUUGCGGACAGAAUCGGAUCCUUCCAGAGCCUCCCACAAACUCAUACAUAUAAAUAUAUACUCCCUCCGUAUUUUAAUAAGUGUCGUUUUAGAAUAUUUAUUUUUUUGAAUUGGAUGUCGUUUUCAAAUUUCUAUACAAAAUUUAUUACUUUUUAAUGUUUUAUGAUAUCAUAAAACAUUAAAAAGUAAAAAAUUUUGCAUAGAAAUUUGAAAACGACAUCUAAUUUUUAAAAAAAGAAAAUCCUAAAACGACACUUAUUAAAAUACGGAGGGGAGUACAUGUGAAGUAGAAUCAAAGCAAAACCAAGAGUCCAAGAAACAACAACAAAAAAAAAAAACAAUCAGAAAGAAGAUUGAAACAAGAUCUCAAGAUCGAUGGGUUUGGUUGUGGUCAUAUCUCUGCCUCUAAUUUUCUUUUGUCUACUUCUUGGAUUCGGUUGCUACUUCCUCGGCAAAUCUCGUGGCCGCCAUGAAAUCCGUACAAAUCCUCAGGUGUAUGGAGCUCCUGCUCCCCCUCCCGGCGCAAUCGCCGCCUCUUCUCCACCGUUGUCUCCUCAGACCAAGCCCGACAAUUCUCACAGCGUCUGAUUUUCCUUAUUUUUUCUCUUUGUCUAUCUUGUUUGUCUCUAUUGGAAGAUGCUUUUGUUUGACUUAUUGUGAAAUGUUGUACUUGUAACUUGUAAUCUUUUGAUUGUCUCUAGUUUUCUUGGGAUAAAUUCCCUUCUUCAUUUGUGUAUUUUCUUUUCUCUUUAAUGUAAAUAAGAAAGCUAGUAAUGGUUUACACAUGAUUCUAUAAGAAACCUCUAGAAAAUAUCAGAACGUCGUGUUGGUAAUUCAACGAGUUAAAAAUAUGAUGUGGCAACACAACCAAAUUCUCCUCUCGGAUGUGAUUGGACAAAAAAUGGAAUUUUUUUUGCUAUAAACAAUAUAUAAUGGGUAAAUGAGAAGAAAUUUGUUUCUUCUGCCUAGAAUUAGACAGUUAAUACAUUAAAAAAUACUAGUAAAACUUUAAAGAAAAGUAUGAUCUCAAAAGAUUAAAACCUAAUCAAGGUGUUCAUAGACAGCUGAAGAGAUCUUAUGAAAAGAAAUCGUUGAAACAUUUCAGACAAACAUUACAAAAGAUAUUAGCCUCCUUCCGGCGAAAUGGUGGAAGGAUUUGUAAUUCUGCUAAUGUUUACUUCGCUCAUAUAUAUAUAGAUUUAAUUGGAGAAUUUUUAUUUUGGUCAAAUUAUAGAUUUAAUUUUUUGAUUUUGGCAAUUACCUUUUCUAAUAUCGAAAUUGUGAAUGUAAAUUAUUACGAUUUUACAAAAAAAAAAAAUGAUUAACAAACUCAUGUCAGAAUCUCAAUUUUGCAGUGUAAUUACUAUUCAGAACUAUAAAACUACAUGUCUGUUUUUUUCUUGUCUACAUAUAUGUGAUUAUUUUGUGUAGAUAUAAUAUAUAGUUAUAUGUUGAUGUUUCAAUAAAAAAAACUAUAGUUAUAUAAACAAAAUACAGAUAAGUCGUGUGUAGUCCACAUAUCUCCAACAUCAAAUAAGAAAACUACAAAAAUCCGCGGGAAAAUCUCUUAUCCAGUGACAUGUUACUUACCAACCAAUCAAAACACGCCACCUCAUCACCACAAGACCUCUUCUCUUAUCUUCCUUUACCUCCACUAAUCUCCUCAAGAAUCUAAAGCUCCUCCCAUAAGUCCUCUCUCCACACUUCCUCCAAAGAUCCAGAACCCUAGAAUUCGAAACCUCCAAGAACCCGAAAAGCGCGAUGUCGCUCACGAUCCCGACGAAUCUCGUUCUCAACCCGAGAUCUAACAAAUCUCUCACUCAAUCCGUACCUAAAUCCUCCGCAAGAUUCGUCUGCUCCGAUGACAAAUCCUCCUCCACACCGCAAUCCAUGAAAGCUUUCUCCGCCGCCGUUGCCCUCUCUUCCAUCCUCCUCUCUGCUCCGAUGCCAGCUGUCGCUGAUAUCUCAGGUUUGACUCCUUGCAAGGACUCAAAACAGUUCGCUAAGAGAGAGAAGCAACAGAUCAAGAAGCUUGAAUCAUCUCUUAAGCUUUACGCUCCUGAAUCUGCUCCUGCUCUUGCUCUUAAUGCUCAGAUCGAGAAAACGAAACGCAGGUUCGUCUUCGAUUUCGAUUUCUUUCGUUAAAACAGAGCUUUUUUUUUUCUCUGUUCUUGAUUCUUGAAUCUUGAUUUUAAUGAAUUACUUGUUAGGUUCAUUGCUAUAGUAUGAUUUUUAUGAGUUAGUGAGUUUCGAAGUCGAUUGAUUUGGAAUUGUAUGUGCCUAUGAUUUGUGGAGAUUUUAUUGAUAUUGAAGAAAUGUUUGUUAGGUUCGACAACUACGGGAAGUACGGCUUGCUAUGCGGGUCAGAUGGUUUACCGCACUUGAUUGUGAAUGGAGACCAGCGGCAUUGGGGAGAGUUCAUUACUCCAGGGAUUCUUUUCCUCUACAUUGCUGGAUGGAUCGGGUGGGUUGGAAGAAGCUACUUAAUAGCUAUUAGUGGUGAGAAGAAACCCGCGAUGAAAGAGAUCAUCAUCGAUGUUC
rnacentral:lncRNA from 1 species